rnacentral:rRNA from 1 species
AUUGAACGCUGGCGGCAGGCCUAACACAUGCAAGUCGAACGAGUGGCGGACGGGUGAGUAAUGUCUGGGAAACGGCCUGAUGGAGGGGGAUAACUACUGGAAACGGUAGCUAAUACCGCAUACCAUCAGAUGUGCCCAGAUGGGAUUAGCUAGUUGGUGGGGUAACGGCUCACCAAGGCGACGAACCCUAGCUGGUCUGAGAGGAUGACCAGCAACACUGGAACAGAGAAACGGUCCAGACUCCUACGGGAGGCAGCAGUGGGGAAUAUUGCACAAUGGGCGCAAGCCUUAUGACGCCAUGCCGCGGUGAUGAAGAAGGCCUUCGGGUUGUAAAGUACUUUCAGCGGGGAGGCGUUACCCGCAGAAGAAGCACCGGCUAACUCCGUGCCAGCAGCCGCGGGAAUUC